UACGUAGGGGGCUAGCGUUGUCCGGAUUUAUUGGGCGUAAAGAGCGUGUAGGCGGCCAGGUAGGUCUGCUGUGAAAACUCGAGGCUCAACCUCGAGACGUCGGCGGAAACCAUCUGGCUAGAGUCCGGAAGAGGAGAGUGGAAUUCCCGGUGUAGCGGUGAAAUGCGCAGAUAUCGGGAAGAACACCCGUGGCGAAGGCGGCAUCCUGGACCAAUACUGACACUGAGGAGCGAAAGCCAGGGGAGCAAACGGG
rnacentral:rRNA from 1 species